rnacentral:rRNA from 1 species
AUUGAACGCUGGCGGCAUGCCUAACACAUGCAAGUCGAGCGAGCGGCGGACGGGUGAGUAAUGUAUGGGGACUGCCCGAUAGAGGGGGAUAACUACUGGAAACGGUAGCUAAUACCGCAUAUUAUCGGAAAACCCAUAGGGGAUUAGCUAGUAGGGUAGGUAAUUGCUAACCUAGCCGACGAACUCUAGCUGGUCUGAGAGGAUGAUCAGCCACACUGGGACUGAGACACGGCCCAGACUCCUACGGAGGCAGCAGUGGGGAAUAUUGCACAAUGGGCGCAAGCCUGAUGCAGCCAUGCCGCGUGUAUGAAGAAGGCCCUAGGGUUGUAAAUUACUGUCAGUCGGGAGGCGUUACCUACAGAAGAAGCACCGGCUAACUCCGUGCCAGCAGCCGCGGUAAUUC